GACGAACGCUGGCGGCGUGCUUAACACAUGCAAGUCGAACGGAAAGACCUGCAGCUUGCUGCGGGUACUCGAGUGGCGAACGGGUGAGUAACACGUGGGUGAUCUGCCUUGCACUUCGGGAUAAGCUUGGGAAACUGGGUCUAAUACCGGAUAGGACAGCUGUUUAGUGUCAGUUGUGGAAAGUUUUUUCGGUGCAAGAUGAGCUCGCGGCCUAUCAGCUUGUUGGUGGGGUAAUGGCCUGCCAAGGCGUCGACGGGUAGCCGGCCUGAGAGGGUGUACGGCCACAUUGGGACUGAGAUACGGCCCAGACUCCUACGGGAGGCAGCAGUGGGGAAUAUUGCACAAUGGGCGGAAGCCUGAUGCAGCGACGCCGCGUGGGGGAUGAAGGCCUUCGGGUUGUAAACUCCUUUCGACAGGGACGAAGCUUUUGUGACGGUACCUGUAUAAGAGGCACCGGCUAACUACGUG
rnacentral:rRNA from 1 species